AUACGUCGCUUUCUUCUGUUCUUGCCGCUAUUGGUCAUGCCGCUUUCUGAUUAUCAUCGGUGUCGCUUUGGUCGUGCUUUGCGAUUUGGGUGCCGAUGGGCAGCGGCGUCUUCGUGGAGAUAUUUUGCUCGGUUUCUUCCUCCUCUCCGUUCUCUCCGCGUGUCCCGUGCUCUCUCGAUCCUCUCAUCUCUUCUUGAGGGCUCCCGUCGAAUCCGGUGCCACCGCCCACCGUCGUAGGUGACUAUAAAAAGAUCCUUCUCCCCGACGGUCCCUACCUCAACUCCUUCCCACCCCAUCCCUCUCCUCCGCCCCCGCCAUCUUCUCUCGGUGUGGCCAUAUGGCAUAUGGGAAGCGGGCAUGGAGGGCACGGCUGGGGCGGGGCCACCAGCGGCGGCCAUCUCCAUCACCGCAUCAUGAUUCCGUCUCGGAGCAGCAGCGGAGGCGAUGUCCCGGCAUCCUCUUUCCCAACCGUCGAGGAGGACUGCCGCGGCUCUUUCCAUGGGGCUUCCGAGAUGUUGACCGGGUUCUUGCACCGGCGGCUGCCUGAGAGGGACGCCCAGAGAUACAUGGCCUUGAAUUGGACCAUCACCAGCAUCUGAUCCUCUUCGUGGUGGCCAUGAGGUAGGGCGUCGUCGAGACCCAGUCCCGCAAGUUGCAGUUCACCUGAUUCGAUUGGUUCUUUAUUAUUUUGUACACAAGCAGACACGUUCCCAUGAUGAAGUUGAGUAUGUAUGCACAAGCCUCACCUUACGUGAGAGGAAUUGUGUACCAUAUGGUGUGGAUACGACUCAAGGGUCACUAUAUAUGUUGGUUAUGUAAGUGCAUAUGGACUACAAAAGGUGAACUCACAUGAGGUCUUUUGCUCUUCCCUGUUCUGCAGCUAUUUUUCCAGGUUUUUUUGGUAAUCUUAACAUCCAUAAAAUGGCAGCAAGAUGCAUGUUAAUGGUAUUCUUAACCACAUAUUUAUUUUAGAUUGUUAAGCUUUUGGUAAAUGUUGUUCACCUCCUCCCCACUAAUAGUGUGUUUUCUAGAGCUAUAUCAGUUAAUACAAACCUGCAAAUAAGUUAUACGUGGACAUGUAUUUUGAUGUACAAACUCCAUCAUAUUAACUACUAAUGUGACAAUCCCUUAACUAAUGCUGCCUUCAUAUACUGAAACUAGUGGAAGGAAGUUGUCUUCAGUUUUUUCUCAUACCACCGAAGUUUCUCAGCAUUCACAAGAUGAGGAUUGCUGGGGUGUGCCCUUUUAGCUGAAUUUUUCACUACUAAUGUAAAGUAUUAUACAUCACAUACACAAGUGCAAUAAUGUAAAAAAUGCUUCUGCUGGUAGACUAAGCAUACACAAGUGCAAUAAUGCCUGCAAGGGCGUCAAGUAGAUUAGAGGAUCUACGUCCAAGAGGUUGCCAUGUCUAGAAAGGCGUGCUUCAGGUUUCUGAUAGAACCUCUGGAUCGCUAGGCUAGAUCAAUCCAGUAACCUACCUUCUGCCUUGCCUUGCGAGCUUGAACCAGCAGCCAUGGUGAUGUUGUGGCGGCUAUGAUGGCAGUGAGAUGGCGGCGGUGGUGUGCUUCCCGUGAGCACCGCGCUAACCCUAGAUCGGUAAGGAAUAUCGGUGGGGUUUGCGGCAACGAUUAACCUCGUGAAACGUGCCUCGACCCCUCACCUCUGUUUAUAUAGCACGGGUCACAGGGGCCCACCAACCAUGGUUUGGUUGGGCACCCCCGAUCAGGGCGCGAGUCAAGGACCCGUCGAGCCAUUGGGCUCGAUCGGGAGAAGAUUAACCUAACAUUCUCCCCCUUGAUCUCAACUUUACUUUUAACUUUAUACUUUCUAGUUUAUUUGUUUCAUCACAUAUUGGUAUAUAGAACAUGUUUCAUCGUCACAGCUUAAUUGUCGUUAGAAUCAUACAGCUACAACAUACGUUAUGUUCAGAAGCAAAUUCUGUUCCUUUUGGGCCUAUCCAGAAAUUAUAAGGCUUUUCCUUAAACCCAUGCCGGCUAAGUGUUUCUUGAACACAUUAGGUGGUAAGCCUUUCGUUAGCGAAUCCGCAAGCAUAUUCUUUGUUCUUAUAUGCUCAAAACUUAUAGUUUGAUCCUGGAUUUUAUCUUUCACAACAUAAUAACUUAUCUCUAUUGUUUUGGCAGUAUUACUCGACUUGUUGUUGUGAGCGUAAAAUACUGCGGGUUGGUUGUCGCAGUACAUCUUUAAUGGUUUGUGAAUACAAUCUACCAUUUUCAAGUUGGGUACAAAUUUCUUUAGCCAUAUCGCCUGCCCCGUGGCUUCGAAGCAUGCUAUGAAUUUUGCAUACAUCGUGGAUGAUGCAACUAUCGACUGUUUGGAGCUUUUCCGCGAAAUAGCUCCCCAACGAGAGUAAAGACGUAUCCUGAUGUGGAUUUUCUAUCAUCUCUGUCCCCCGCAAAAUCUGCGUUUGAAUACCCUUUUAUCUCUAGGGAAUCACUUCUCCUGUAUAUUAGCAUGUAGUCCUUUGUGCUUUGCGCAUAACAUAAUGCUUUCUUUAUCAUCUUCCAGUGCUCCAUACCUGGAUUCUCUUAAUAUCUACCAAGUACCCUGGUGAUAAAAACUAAGUCAGGGCGAGUGCACACUUGUGCAUACUAUAAGCUGCCAACUGCCGAAGCAUAUGGUACUGCUUUCAUUUGAUCGAUCUCGUACUGGUUCUUGGGAUAUUGAAAUUUUUCCAAAACUAUCAUCCUUAAUUAUAGGAGCUGGUGGGGCUUUACUCGCAUGCAUAUUAUAUUUUUUUAAGAACCUUUUCUAAAUAUGCUUUCUGCGACAGUCCUAAGACUCCAUUGUUCCUAUCUCGAUGAAAAUUUCUAUGCUCAAAACAUAUGAUGCUUCACCAAGAUCUGUUAUGUCAACAAUUGAGGAUAAGAACUUCUUUGUUUCUUGUAGUAGACUAACAUCACUGCUAGCAAGCAGGAUAUCAUCCACAUACAAGAUUAGGAAAAUACAUUUUCCAAAUUUAAACUUUGCAUAAAUCCAUUUAUCCUCAAUAUGUUCUUUAAAUCUAAAUUUUUUAAUCGUUUGAUUAAACUUUAAAUACCACUGUCUAGAGGCUUGCUUUAAUCCAUAAAUGGAUUUCUUUAGGCGGCAUCCCAUAAUUUCCUUGCCUUCCAUGAUAAAACCCUUGGGUUGUUUCAUGUAGACCUUUUCUUUUAAAUCACCAUUCAAAAAAUACCGUCUUAACAUCCAUUUGAUGUAACUCUAGAUCAAAAUGAGCAACUAAUGCCAUUAUGAUUCUGAAGAAAUCCUUACAUAAGACUGGAGAAAAUGUCUCAUUGUAAUCUAUUCCUUCUCUUUGUGUAAAUCCUUUUGCCACGAGUCAUGCUUUAUACUUUUCUAUAUUCUCUUUGGAGUCAUACUUAAUUUUAUAGACCCAUUUACAGCCUAUUGUUUUGGCUCCUUUAGGAAUUUUCUCUAAGUCCCAAACAUCUUUGGAACUCAUCGAUUUCAUCUCGUCUUCCAUUGUCUUCAUCCACAUCGAUGAAUGAGGGCUUCUCAUGGCUUCUUCAUAUAAGUCGGCUGCUGACGGACAGGUUCCAUGUCUAUCCCCAUAGUUGUCAUGGAUGGAGUUGCAACUGGUAGUGAGAAAAAUGGCUCCUGAAUCAUCGGAUUAGGUGCAUGCACCCUUUUCUCCUCAAGAUCAAUUUUUCGAGCUACCAAGCUCCCCCUUAUCAUUUCAUCCUUUAAAAAGACUGCAUGUCUUGUUUCUACAAACUUUGUAUAGCUGUCUAGGCAGUAGAAACGAAAACCUUUUGAUCUGUCUGGAUAGCCAAUUAAGUGACAACUUACUGUUUUGGGAUCUAACUUUGCAAUAUUUGGAUUAAACAUUUUGGCCUUAGCAGGGCACCCCCACAUCCUAAAGUUUUGUAGGGAGGGCACCCUUCCUGUCCAUAGCUUGUACGGUGUUUUGGGCACCGACUUGCUUGGCACUCUAUUGAGAAUGUGAAUGACGGUUUUAAGCCCCUCCAUCCAUAAUUCCAAUGGCAAGUUGGAAUAACUUAUCAUGUUGCGCACCGUAUCCAUAAGUGUACGGUUGCGUCUUUCAGCUACUCCAUUCUUUUCUCUCAUAGUGGGAUACAUUUAAAGCACAUGAGUUAUCAUAUCUUUCUCUUGCCAGAAUUUCUUUCGCCAUACGGGAUUUUUGACAUAAUAUUAUGUCAGCUUUACCUCGUUACGCAGGUAUUUUUCCAGAGUAAGUGGCGUCGUCGAGGUUCCUGUAGUCGUGAACAGGGGACCUGGGAGCUGAGAUGGUUCGGGGAUCACAGGCAGCGCCGUCGACAUAGAGCUGAAAAAAGGCAUGUAGGGGCCCGGUGGGUGGGGGCGUUUCUGCUGGUUCGUUUUCCUCCCGAACAAAUCAUUCGGUCGAUGCCCCUGCCCUCCCAAACGAUCCGUUCGGGUAGGGGUGUUUGCAGGUCGAACAGACAUGCCUUUAUCGGGGUCAUUUAAUAUGCAUUUUCACGAUGGCAUUUUUAUAUUUCAUAAGGUUUUUAUAUUUUAAGAACAUGGCAAUUUUUUGACUUUCUAGCAUGCCAAAAAAUUAGUUUAUUGCCAUGGCAAUUUCAAGCUUCAUUUUGGCAUGCAAUUUUUUUUGUGAUGUCAACUUUUCUUUAUCACAACAUGGCAAAAAUUCCCUUUCAUUUUGCCUGGCAAAUUUACUUUAACAAACAUGGCAAAAAAAAUCCUUUCAUUGCCAUGCAAUUUUUUUACUCUUUUUUGCCAUGUCAAAUUUACAAUUUUUGGUCAUGGAAAAAUUCUCCUUUUAUUUGCCAUGCCAAAAUAAAGAAAAAUUAUGGAGCAUGGCAAAUUUAGCUUUCUACUUGCCAUGUCAACUUUUACUUUAUUUCGCCAUGGCAAUUUUUAACCUUCAUUGCCAUGGCAAUUUUACGGUUAAAUACUUGGCAAAUUAAUAUCUACAUACAUGGGAAAUUUUACUCUAUUUUUGCCAUGUCAUAAUUUUACUUUAUUUUCCAUGGCAAAUUUUUAACUUUAUUGCCAUGGCAACUUCAGUUUUACAUACAUGGCAAUCUUACUGGAACAUACAUGGCAAUUUUCACUGUACUUUGCCACGUCAAAAAAUUACUAUAUUUUUUGCCAUGACAAUUUUACCUUAAAAUACUUGGCAAAUUUACAAUUUAAAUACAUGGCAAAUUUUACUCUAUUUUUGCCAUGUCAGAAUUUUAUUUUAUUUUGCCAUGGAAUUUUUUUAACUUCAUUACCAUGGCAAAUUUACUUUUAAAUACAUGGCAAUUUUGCAUGGUCAAUUUUAAAUUUGUUUCAUGGCAAUUUCUCCAUGUUUUUAUUUUUUUGGCUGCGUGUAAUUAAAACACCACAGCAAUUUUCCUGUAUAAGUUUUUCUUCUCGAAUUCCAUACAAAGCAUGUCAAUUUUAAUUAAAACAUCAUGGCAAAUUUUAAUAUUUUUAAGCAUGCCAAAUUUGAUAUUUUUUUUACCUUGCGCUACUUUAUUUUCGGACCACGGCAAAUUAUAUUUUUUUCGACCCUGGAAUUAGAAUUUUUCAUUAAACUUUUUGAUCAAAGACAUACCCACUAACUGGUUUUUUAUGUGCUCACGUAGCAGGAUUUUUUGUGUUUCUAUUGUAAAAGAAGCGUCAUUUUUUGAUUUUUUAAGGACUGUUUUUUGUUUAUAAAGCUGGGCCUUUUUUAGCCUUUUUUUGGUUUUACGUACACGUGCAGGGAAGAGGCUGAAAGGGUUCGGGCUGGCCUUCCACCACACCGAACGACACAAUCGUUCGUUCCAUCGCUCCUCCCUGCCGAACCUUUCCGUUCGGACCGGGGUUCUCCCAGAUCGAAUGGUCGGGAGUUAUCGACGUCCUAAAAAAAGAUAUGCUCCAAAACUAUUUCGAGUUCUUAGAGAACUCUCCGAGAGCUACUCAUUUUGCUUUUGAUGUUUCGCUGUGACUAUCACUGUAUUAUCACUGUACUACCAAUAUAAAUUCAAAUUGGAUCUGAUUAUUGUUUA